CAGUUUUUAGACUGAAGCGAAAACUGGAUGACAUGACUGAGGCUGAGGAGAGGAAGAAAAUGUGCCACCAGGUAGAGACAACGGAACCAGCUCACCAGGUGGAGACAACUGAAGAAGAGACCAGUAUGGUGGGCCAAGUUGUGGCCCACUGCAAACAAGCAGCGGAAUGGGUGCAGGGGAACCCACAACUGUUUACAGCCAGGGUGGAGAUGCCAGAAAUUUUAAACAUGGACAGCAGCUCUAUUGAGGAGGCUCAACAGCAACUGGCAAACUUGUUCGAUGCCACCCAGGACAUUGAUGAUGAUGAGAGGGGAUUCAUUCUGGAGCCCUUCAAG